rfam:Bacillus sp. MRMR6 scaffold_3, whole genome shotgun sequence.
UUCAUGGAGAGUUUGAUCCUGGCUCAGGACGAACGCUGGCGGCGUGCCUAAUACAUGCAAGUCGAGCGAAUCUUGAGGUGCUUGCACCUCUUGGUUAGCGGCGGACGGGUGAGUAACACGUGGGCAACCUGCCUGUAAGACUGGGAUAACAUCGGGAAACCGAUGCUAAUACCGGAUAAUCCUUUUCCUCUCAUGAGGGAA